UACGGAGGAUGCAAGCGUUAUCCGGAAUGAUUGGGCGUAAAGCGUCCGCAGGUGGCUGUGUAAGUCUGCUGUUAAAGAGUGAGGCUCAACCUCAUAAAAGCAGUGGAAACUACACAGCUAGAGUGCGUUCGGGGCAGAGGGAAUUCCUGGUGUAGCGGUGAAAUGCGUAGAGAUCAGGAAGAACACCGGUGGCGAAAGCGCUCUGCUGGACCUUAACUGACACUGAGGGACGAAAGCUAGGGGAGCGAAUGGG
rnacentral:rRNA from 1 species